CUCCACCGGGUCCCUAACCCCGCGGGGCCCCGCUCCUCCUGUUAGCACCGCCAAGGGCCUCGGCGGUUCGCUCACCAGCGUCAGCGGGAUGCCCACGCACAGAACAGGCAGUGAUGGCCUCGGCCGGGUGCUCAGGGGGUUAGCGCGUCCUCUCACCCGCCGAGGUUGCAGCUUCCAUCCCGCGUCAGGGCACAUACGAGAACCCACCAAUGAAAAACAAACAACGAAAAAGAAUCAACCCACAAAUGCAUAAGUAAGUGGAGCAACACACCGGCCUGAGGCAGGCCUCUCUCUAAAGUUAAUUUGUUUAAUAACCAAAAAACGAACUAAGACAGGCAGUGA